AUGGACUCUGGGGCGACAGAGCAUCUGACCAGCGAGAUGGGGAAGCUUCACACUCGUGAACCCUAUCAUGGCUCCGACAAGAUCCACACCGCCAAUGGAGCAGGUAUGCACAUCUCUCAUAUUGGUCAAGCAUCUCUUCUCACUAGACAUGCCAAUAGGAGUCUUCAGCUUCGCAAUGUUCUUCGCGUUCCAUCUGUGACCCGCAAUCUUCUUUCAGUUCCUAAACUCACACGUGAUAAUAAUGUGCUUUGUGAAUUUCACCCUUUUGAUCUUUUUAUUAAGGAUCGGGGCAUGAGGGACAUUCUUCUUAGUGGGCGGUUGUGCCAGGGCCUCUACCGUCUGGAGCAUCCUGGCGUCGCUCGCGUUUUCAGUGGAGUUCGGGUCUCUCCGUCACAGUGGCAUGCUCGUCUUGGUCACCCGGCCACACCUAUUGUCCGUCAUAUUUUGCGUCGUCAUGAGCUUCCUAGUUUGUCUAGUAAUAAAGAUGUAGCAGUGUGUGAUGCUUGUCAGCAGGGGAAGAGUCAUCAACUUCCUUUUUCGGAGUCCAGUCGUGAGGUGAAACAUCCGUUAGAACUUGUGUUUUCAGAUGUAUGGGGUCCUGCUCAGACUUCUGUCAGUGGUCAUAAUUACUAUAUCAGUUUCGUUGAUGCUUAUAGUCGCUUUACCUGGCUUUACCUUAUUAAACGCAAAUCUGAUGUGUUUGAUAUUUUUGUUCAGUUUCGAAAACAUGUUGAACGUCUUCUCAAGCACAAAAUUGUUCAUGUCCAGUCGGACUGGGGGGGCGAGUAUCGCAACCUCAACUCCUUCUUUCAGUCGCUUGGGAUAGCUCAUCGUUUAGCAUGUCCACAUACACAUCAGCAGAAUGAUUCAGUCGAACGUAAGCAUCGUCAUAUUGUUGAAGCUGGUCUUACUCUUUUGGCCCAUGCAUCUGUUCCGUUUCGGUUUUGGAGUGAUGCUUUCACCACUGCAUGCUUUCUCAUCAAUCGUACUCCUACUCGUGUUUUAAACAUGAAGACUCCCAUUGAGGUUCUCCUUAAUGAACAACCUGAUUAUACCUUUCUCAAGGUAUUUGGGUGUGCUUGCUGGCCGCAUCUUCGUCCAUAUAACAAGCGCAAGCUUGAGUUUCGUUCUAAGAAGUGUGUUUUCCUUGGCUAUAGCUCUCUUCAUAAAGGUUACAAAUGUCUUCAUGUUCCCACUAAUCGUGUCUAUAUAUCUCGGGACGUCGUGUUUGAUGAGCAUGUUUUUCCCUUUGCCAACCUUCCUGUGUCCACUGUCGAACCACCAUCCCUGCAUUCAUCCUCUGUUGCUUCUGACCAAUUUCAUGAUGUUGCAUACUCUCCUUUGCUGUUACCUAACCAUGGUGCAGGAACCGGACGUGGAGCUCGUUUGGAGCUGUUGGAGGAUUCACCAUCAUCAUCGUCGUCUUCUGGUGGGCAUGUCGAUCGCCCUCUGUUGCAUGGCAUCGAUUCGCGUGCCCAUGCAUGGUCACCCGACGAGCCCGUCGCGCCGAGCAUCUCCACUGCUCGGUCUGCUACGCCAGUGAUCGCCGAGUCUCCAGCGGCUCGGCCUUUUUCGCCAGCGGCCGCCGAGUCGCCCGUGGCUCGGCCCGUCACGCCGUCUUCGCCCGCGGCUCGGGUCCUCACGUCGCCUUCAUCAGCGGAUCGGCCCGCGACACCGGCCGCGCCACGGCCCACUAUGCCGAGCUCGCCAUCGGCCCGGUCUGGGAUGCCGGAGUCGCCAGCUGCUUCGUCUGCUCUGCCGGUUUCGCCGGUGGGCCGGCCUUCUUCGCCGACUGAGUCCGAGGCUACCGUGCCUGGCUCCUCGUCACCGGCUGACUCAUCAACGUCGCCGUCCUCCAGCCCGUUGCAGGCUGCUCCGUCGACCUCGGUGGUUCCUGUGUCUCGACCACAUACACGCAGUCGCAGUGGCAUUUUCAAACCUAAGGAACGUACGGAUGGUACGGUUGCUUGGUUGGCUGCUUGUUUGGCUGCUGCUGUUGCGGAUCCAUCUUCUGAGCCUCGCUCAUAUCAGGCUGCCCUGCGCAUUCCACAUUGGCGAGAGGCUAUGGAGCAGGAGUUUCAUGCUCUUCUUCGUAACAAGACAUGGACUCUCGUUCCUCCACCACCACGGGUAAAUGUUAUUGACUCAAAAUGGGUAUUCAAAGUGAAGAAGCAUUCGGAUGGAUCUAUUGAGCGUUACAAAGCGCGACUUGUUGCUCGCGGUUUUCGGCAGCGUCAUGGUCUUGACUAUGAGGACACCUUCAGUCCUGUCAUCAAGCCUACCACUAUUCGGCUUCUUCUCUCCAUUGCUGUUUCUCGUGGUUGGUCCCUUCGUCAACUUGAUGUGCAGAAUGCUUUUCUACAUGGAUUUUUGGUGGAAGAGGUUUAUAUGAAACAGCCGCCUGGUUUCUCUGAUCCUGAUCAUCCUGACUAUAUCUGUCAUCUUUCCAAAGCACUAUAUGGUUUGAAGCAAGCUCCUCGUGCCUGGCAUGCCCGCCUUGCCUCUGCCCUUCAUGCUCAUGGGUUUGUGCCGUCCACUGCUGACACUUCAUUAUUUCUUCUACAGAAGCCAGAAGUCACUAUGUAUCUUUUGGUAUAUGUCGAUGAUAUUAUCCUUGUCAGCUCUUCUCAGUAUGCUGCUGAUGCUCUUGUCUGCUCUCUUGGUGCUGAUUUUGCGGUCAAAGAUCUUGGGAAGCUUCACUACUUUCUUGGAGUUGAGGUCACUUCUCGUGCUACUGGUCUUGUCCUUACGCAAAAGAAGUACUCCUUGGAGUUGUUACAAAAAGCCGGCAUGCUGAAGUGCAAACCGACCACCACACCCAUGUCGUCUACCGACAAGAUAACAGCUGUUGAUGGUGAGCUUUUGUCUCCUGCGAAUGCCACAGAGUACAGAAGCAUUGUUGGUGGACUUCAGUACUUGACGAUCACGAGACCAGAUAUCUCUUAUGCUGUUAACAGGGUUUGUCAGUAUCUUCAGGCUCCCAGAGAUACUCAUUGGGUUGCUGUUAAACGCAUUCUUCAUUAUGUUCAGUUCACCCUGACUUUUGGUAUGCAUAUUCGGCCGACUUCCUCUCGGGUCCUUUCGGCCUUCUCUGAUGCAGAUUGGGCUGGUAGCCCAGAUGACAGGCGAUCCAUGGGGGGUUAUGCAGUAUUCUUUGGCUCUAAUUUGAUCACCUGGAGUGCUCGGAAACAGGCUACUGUGUCAUGUAGCAGUACUGAAGCUGAGUACAAGGCUGUGGCUAAUGCUACUGCAGAGAUUAUUUGGGUGCAGUCUUUGCUUCAGGAGUUGGGUUUGUCUCAACCACAGCCUCCUAUUCUUUGGUGUGAUAACAUCGGUGCUACAUACCUUUCUGCAAAUCCAGUAUUUCAUGCCCGAACGAAACACAUUGAAGUUGACUAUCACUUUGUACGGGAACGUGUAUCACAUAAGCAACUUCAGAUCAAGUUUAUCUCGUCUAAGGAUCAACUUGCAGAUAUCUUCACUAAGCCUUUACCACUGCCACAGUUUGAGGCUUGUAGGCGCAAUCUUACCCUUCUCAGUUCUUUAGAAAGUGGCUAA
rnacentral:rRNA from 1 species